rnacentral:rRNA from 1 species
UACGUCCCUGCCCCUUUGUACACACCGCCCGUCGCUACUACCUAUUGAAUGGCUCGGUGAGGCCUUCGGACUGGCCCAGGGAGGUCGGCAACGACCACCCAGGGCCGGAAAGUUGGUCAAACCCGGUCAUUUAGAGGAAGUAAAAGUCGUAACAAGGUCUCCGUAGGUGAACCUGCGGAGGGAUCAUUACAAGACAACGCCCGGGCUUCGGCCUGGUUUUGUUCAUAACCCUUUGUUGUCCGACUCUGUUGCCUCCGGGGCGACCCUGCCUUCGGGCGGGGGCUCCGGGUGGACACUUCAAACUCUUGCGUAACUUUGCAGUCUGAGUAAACUUAAUUAAUAAAUUAAAACUUUUAACAACGGAUCUCUUGGUUCUGGCAUCGAUGAAGAACGCAGCGAAAUGCGAUAAGUAAUGUGAAUUGCAGAAUUCAGUGAAUCAUCGAAUCUUUGAACGCACAUUGCGCCCCCUGGUAUUCCGGGGGGCAUGCCUGUUCGAGCGUCAUUUCACCACUCAAGCCUCGCUUGGUAUUGGGCAACGCGGUCCGCCGCGUGCCUCAAAUCGUCCGGCUGGGUCUUCUGUCCCCUAAGCGUUGUGGAAACUAUUCGCUAAAGGGUGUUCGGGAGGCUACGCCGUAAAACAACCCCAUUUCUAAGGUUGACCUCGGAUCAGGUAGGGAUACCCGCUGAACUUAAGCAUAUCAAUAAGCGGAGGAAAAGAAACCAACAGGGAUUGCUCUAGUAACGGCGAGUGAAGCAGCAAUAGCUCAAAUUUGAAAUCUGGCGUCUUCGACGUCCGAGUUGUAAUUUGUAGAGGAUGCUUCUGAGUGGCCACCGACCUAAGUUCCUUGGAACAGGACGUCA